AGCAGCCGCGGUAAUUCCAGCUCCAAUAGCGUAUAUUAAAGUUGUUGCAGUUAAAAAGCUCGUAGUUGAAUUUCGAGACCGGCUUACUGGUCGUGCUAUUGUGCGUACUGGUAUAAUCGGUUUCUCCUUUCUGACGAACUAUAAUGCCAUUAAUUUGGUGUUAUAGGGAAUCAGGACUGUUACUUUGAAAAAAUUAGAGUGUUUAAAGCAGGCUCACGCUUGAAUACAUUAGCAUGGAAUAACGGAAUAGGACGUUUGAUUCUAUUUUGUUGGUUUCUAGGAUCGACGUAAUGAUUAAUAGGGAUAGUUGGGGGCAUUAGUAUUCAAUUGUCAGAGGUGAAAUUCUUGGAUUUAUUGAAGACUAACUACUGCGAAAGCAUUUGUCCAAGGAUGUUUUCAUUAAUCAAGAACGAAAGUUAGGGGGUCGAAGACGAUCAGAUACCGUCGUAGUCUUAACCAUAAACUAUAGCCGACUAGGGAUCGGGAUGGAAUGUUAAUUUUUUAAUGACUCAUUCGGCGC
rnacentral:rRNA from 1 species